UCCAUCCCCAGGCAGAGCUCCAUGCACUCCUGCUGGUCAUUGACAUGGGGGGUGACACUUCCUCCUCAUCUCCACACCCUGUCCUUCCUAAAGAGCUUGUGUCCCUUCAUUCCAACUCUUCAGUCACAGAGCCCACCCAUCACAGCCCUGCAGGCUCUGAGCAUCUCUGGCUGGCACUGGCAUCACACUGGUAGGAGUGAGAUGGAUUGAGGUUUCCCUCCCCUGGCAACAUUAGUUUAAAGCCAUCUUCACCAGCCUGGUACCUGGAGACCAUCCUUCUAUUUCUAGCAAAGAUUUCUACCUGACACUAAUAAGAAGACAGCAUCCCAACGCCACCUUUUUGAGGCAGAAAGGGGCACUCCAGUGACCUUGGAAGGCCUCAUCUGAAAUUACUAAACCAAAGCCUGCCAUCAUCUUACAGACAAGCUCCUUCAGAAUUCCAGAGUCACCAGUUUAUUAGCAACAUCAGGAUCACAUUAUUCCUCUUCUGAGACCCUGCCCUGGGUUUUCUCCAAAACUUACAAGGACUAAGAGUUGCAAUAUUGAGAUGAAAAUCAUGAAGAUAUACCAAGUUUUCUCUCCAUGUAUACCACAUGUAAGAAAA